AACCUUGGAUUCACAGAUGGAUCAGGAACGACAGUUGGGUUAGUUCUCAAACCCUUCACGGUACCAGGGGGCCCAGCUUUCUGCUGUUUACCCAAAACCAAAACCUGCUUCUGUGCAUGAUCUUGUCCUUGUUCAGCCAGCCGCAGCUGUUCACUUAGCUCCCUUACUUGCUUCUUCAACUCGGCAUUUUUCUCUGAUAGUGAGACAAUAUCUGAUUUAAGCAUUUUAAUUCGUUCCGCUGAUUCACAUGGAGGCGAGUCAAUCUGGAGAUUGGAUUUAGCAAUUCGAUGGCUCGAGGCAGUCGAAUCGGAGCUAAAGAAUCCAUGAGGAUACAAAAAAA
rnacentral:misc_RNA from 1 species